CGUUCGAUCCGGGCCCCUCUGGCGGCUUUUCGUGCGUUGUCCCGCACGGGCCGUGAUGUCGGAUCUUUCAC
rfam:Rhodovulum sp. PH10 contig35, whole genome shotgun sequence.